GCGGGGCUGGGGGGCGAGCUCGUCGCCGAUCCGAGCGGCGAGCUCGGCGACCUCGGCGGUGUCGGUGACGAGCACGGCGUCGGUCUCGCGC
rnacentral:tRNA from 1 species